UAGGGGAGGAGAAUAUAAGCCAGUGGUUCUCAAACCUGACUGCACAUGAGAAUCAGCUGGGUAGGUCUUAAAAAUGCAGAUGCCCAGACCAAACUCCAGGCAAAUCCCACCGGGUUCUCUGAGGGCAUCAGUGGCUGCCUAAGCUCCCCAGCUGCGUUCACUGUGCAACCAGCUGGGGAAUCACUGGUGCAAGUAGAUAUAAGUUACUAGUAGCUUUCUGCUGCCUUAGAUUGGUUGUAGGUUCAAGGGGGUUCAUUCUAUUAGUCUAUUUUAUGACUCACAUGUGCUAUACGUGUUAUUUUAUGUAUCAACUAUUCCAUUUCAAAGAUAAUGAAACAUGGCCACAAGUUCGUUUUCUCUUCUUUCGUUUUCCCAUUCUCUUCAUUUUUUCCUUCCCUUUAUUCAUCCGUUCCUUUAUUCCUUUCUGUUUUUCCUGAAUGCAGUAUAGUAUCCUGCUGAACAUCGUGGCCUGUGCAUUCCAACCUACACCGUGCUGGUUGUGGGGUCUUGGGCAGGUCACCUCAUCUCUCAGCAUCCUCAUCUGUGAAGGCUGCCUUUGUGAGAGGAAAUGGAGAUUUAAGCUGCGAGCACCCAGGAGUAGAGCACCUGGUACAUCUCAGCAUGGGAGGAGAAAACAGGAAUGGGGAGAUGACACAGACGCAGCUCCCCACUGGCUGAAAUGUGACGGCGCUGGAGGCCGUGCAUGCCCUCGCUUAAUUAGCAGGUGGCAUUGCCAAGGCACACGUAUCUACCCUGGGUUUUAAGCAUUUCAACAUCAGCCACUCCAGCUUCUCACCUGGGCGAGGCUCCCACCCACUCUGACGACAAAGGAUGCAGAAGUAGACAGUCAAUGUCUAAAAGUCUGGUCUGAGGAAGCUCAGUAAGUGAUCAUGGAACUGAAUGGACUAAAGGAAGCCACCUUUCUACUUUCAUAUUCUCCAAUUUACUAAGAAGGGUAGUUGGCUGUGACAAUGCCAGUGACAUGGUUGGGUUUCCUCAGAGCGUUUUUCCCGAGGCUGUCCACGUGGGCCCAAGGAUGAGGCGAAGUUUCUCCCUAGUCUCUACUCUGUGCUGUUUAAAUGCCCAAAGUACUAUUUUCACCCAGGAACUGAAAAAAAAAUGUUCCAAUAUUUAGCUGUAGCGUGCUGCUCUGUUUUCCCGGGACAGCCUGCUGGCGGAUGUCGCCGUUUCCUCAACCAGGGAGCUGCAGCAGACGGGCCGGCCGGGGGCGCUUCGCACCCGGGGGAGCUGGCGCAACAAGGCCCAUUUGGCACGUUUAAUCCUGCUGAAAGCCUGGCAGUUGGAGAGGUGACAUCAUUGGAGUCAAUUACCCCCACAAUUGCCAGGACUGGGUAGAAAUAACUCAGGAAAUCGCUGCAUAAUCACCGCGCCAUCCAUCCAGGGCUGCCUGCCUGCCAGCCAGCGCGCCGACUGCCUGAUUCACAUUAACGCGCUGAGACCUCGCAGCAGCCCCGAGAGCAGUUAGCAUUGUUACCAUCCGCUUGUACAGACGAGACAACUGAGGCUCGGAGAGGCGCGGUGUGGUAGGCUGAGCCAUGGUCUCCGAAGAGAUCAGGUCCUAAUCCCUGGACAUUCCAUGUGACCUUAUUUGGAAAAAAGGGUCUUCGCAGGCGUGAUUAAGGGAAGGAUCUUGAGAUGGAGAAAUUAUCCUGUAUUAUUUGGGGCAGCCCUAAAUGCCAUCACAAGUGUCCUCCUAAGAGAGAAAGAGAGGGAGACUUCACACACAGAGGAGAAGACCAGGUGAAGACA